UACGUAGGGUGCGAGCGUUGUCCGGAAUUACUGGGCGUAAAGAGCUUGUAGGCGGUUUGUCGCGUCUGCUGUGAAAUUUCGGGGCUCAACCCCGAACUUGCAGUGGGUACGGGCAGACUAGAGUGUGGUAGGGGAGACUGGAAUUCCUGGUGUAGCGGUGAAAUGCGCAGAUAUCAGGAGGAACACCGGUGGCGAAGGCGGAUCUCUGGGCCUUACCUGACGCUGAGGCGCGAAAGCUAGGGGAGCGAACAGG
rnacentral:rRNA from 1 species